GUAUUUAAAAAAAUAAUAAUAAUCUGGAUCUGAAUGUUGGGCUGAAUAUGUCCAAUUCACACCCUAAUUUGGAAUAU